rnacentral:rRNA from 1 species
CCUACGGGGGGCAGCAGUGAGGAAUAUUGGUCAAUGGGCGGAAGCCUGAACCAGCCAAGUCGCGUGAGGGAAUAAGGCCCUACGGGCCGUAAACCUCUUUUGCCGGGGAGCAAGGGCCGGGACGCGUCCCGGCCCGGAGAGUACCCGGAGAAAAAGCAUCGACUAACUCCGUGCCAGCAGCCGCGGUAAUACGGAGGAUGCGAGCGUUAUCCGGAUUUAUUGGGUUUAAAGGGUGCGUAGGCGGGCUUUUAAGUCUGAUGUGAAAGCCUU